AUGCUGUUGGGAUUCAGACUCAAAGAAGCUUGGUUGUAUUUAUGUUUGGACAUUAAAGGACAGGACCUCUUUCUGUUUUGUGAAAAUAAAUCACAGUGAUUUUCCUUUGAAUCUUAGGACUGGAGAUCCUGGUUAGCUUUGAGUAGCUUGGCAUGUACAUAAUUAGUUUGGGCCUUAACCUUAGCCUGUAUCUGCUGCCCUCCUAUUCUUCUCUCACUGUUCUUAUUUCUUCAUUCAUUUUCUUUUUCCAACACACUAACUGGUACCUGAAAAAAGACACAUUCAUCCUUCAGCAUUUAUGAUGGGUGCUCAUGGUCCUUGUGGUGUUUAAACAAAACAUUACUUGAGGUGGAGAGAGAGCAUAAGAAGCAGAUUGAGGAUUUCUUUGCCACGGUCUAUUCAUGCACAGGUCUGCCGCUGAGCACACUGGAGAGCCCCCCGUGCUCCUUUGAGAUGCCCCAUCCACCCCACCAGCUCAGCAUUCACGAGUUGUGCCUGGUACAUCAAGGAUGCUGAUUCUACACAAGUGGCCUCCCUUUGGACAAUUCUUGAUUUAGGAGAUUAACAGAUCCCCAAAUACAUGGAGUUCAGUUCUCGUCCUCUUCCGCUUCUUCCAGAAGACCAUCCUCCUUUGAGUGUUGCUGCAGGAAAGACUUACUGCACAAAGGCUGUAAAUGGCAGACUGACUUUGAACUUGGAUAUUCAGCUCGGUGUUGCAAGCCAGAGUGGGACAGAACUUCAAAUCCAGAGAGGGAGUGGAAAUGAUGCUCCAAUAUCGGGCAUCAUACUUUGUCUAGAACUAUGUGCAGCAGGCAGAAACAUCUAGUUGUAGAAUAAUAUACUACUAUCAAACGUCCUAUACAAGCAGUGGCACCUCGAAGAUGGAGGAGGAGGAAGGAGGCCCCGUUGUGCUGGAUACCGUCCAAAUGUAUAGUAAUAGAAAGUUCCUUCUCAAUACCGUAUACAUAAGGGCAAACAAGCCCGGGAGGGGAAAAGUCCUUGAAAGGAAAAGUGACUUGGCCAAAGUCAUAUAACAAUAAAUGCAGAUCACAAAUCCAGAUCCUGUGAUCCUGCCUACAUUCUGCGCUGCUGUUAUGGCUUUCCUUUAGAAUACCAUUAUAUUUUAACACAAAAUCUUUCCUUAUUUUACAAUGAAAGAAAGUGAAGAACUAAAAUACAUUAAAAAAAAAAAAAAAAGGUUGGUCAUUCUGAAUUCCUGUUAAUAAAAUAAACAGAAAAACAAACAAACAAAAAAAACCCCAGGAAUUUCAAUGAUGCACCCUAUCUGAUGGAUGAAAACUCCUGUUGAUUUCAUCCAAAUUCUUUGGUGAGACAAAGAAGAGAGUUUUUUUUUGUUUUUUUUGGGGGGGGGGGGGUUGCUUACAGAUUUGUGGUGCAUGUCUACACUAGCAGGUCUAUACUUUUAUAAAAUUCCAUUCAAACUCUAUUUAAUAUGCAGCAGAAUUAUUGUUCUUGCUAUAUAUCAACUUUAAAUCUGCUUCAAUACAACCUUAAAUGCCUUUCUUGCAGUAUAUCAUUUCAUCAGUCUAGCUUAACUAGAGCUGCUUUGUCAUUUUUUAUUGCCCCCAUAAAAUCUAGGAAUGGAACACUUGGAUUUUUCUAGCAGUAAUUUUUAUUACUUAGGCUUUUUUUAAAGUACUUGUCAAUGAGUUACAGUACUUGCACAGAGUACAUUUUUCAGCUCAGCAUUAUAUUUUUAUUUCAAUUUAUUUUAGACGGGAUGCGUAACGUUCAUCUAAAUAAUACCUAUGGUAUUUCAAAUGAGUGUAUUAUGAAUAUAAUUAGAAUGGAUAUAAACCUACUUCAUCCAUCAAGAUUCCUAUAUUUUGUUGCCUGCAUCUAAGCGUAUGGCUUCUUUCAAGUAAGCCUUUAAAUGAUAACUCACAUUGUGCUUUCAACGCUGCACAUAAAAUCAUAUCACAAUGUGGGGGAGGGAGGGAAAUUAGUUUCUUGUCAUUUUUAUGUUUUAAUUUCAAUUUUUUAGAGCUGUUUAGAUUUUUCCUUGGAGUGAGUUGUACCAGAACUUUUUAUUCCCCCCCACAACCUUAGGCAUAUAGAAAUUGCCAUAUUAGAUCAGGCCAGUGAUUUAUCUAGUCGAGUAGUCUGCCUGUUUCUUAGGCUCAUAAGAGGAAAAUGUGAAAUAUGAUGCUACGUGUUAUGGAAAUGUCUGUUCACUGAGACAGAUUCUUCCUAACCUGCUUCAGUUUUAGUUUAGUGUGUGCCCUGUAGCAUGAAGAUUUAUAGCUCUCCCAAAGAAAUGGAGAUACAGUUGUUUAAUUCUCCCCUUCCCUUCCCUCAUUGGAGACAUCGGUUCUAGUCUUGGUUCUGCCGCCUUUCUCGACUUUCCUCAGACAAGUCAUUUCACCUUUCUGUUCCUUGAUUUCCUCUUCUGUCAUUAUCCUGACCUUAGGUUAAAGCCUGGAGGACCUACAAAUCAAAUAUACAAUUUAAGAUCUAGACAGUAUUGGAUUUAAAGCAUAUUUUAAUUCUUAAUAUUGUAACUGCAGAUGUUCACACCAUCCAUCUAAAUGUCCAGUUCUUUGGUAAUGCUGAACAUCUCUUGGCCCCAGUGAUGUAUUGUGGCUCUAUGCUCCACGCUCUAAUUGUAUACUAUGUAAGAAUAAUUUUUUGUUUGUAAUCAGUGAAAGUGAACUGUUACUUUCUAGAAAUCUUAGGGAUUGAAGGCGGCACGGGGUAGGGAGGCAGCUUUGCAUUUCAACUGAUGGGUGAAAUUGUGUGCUUACAGUUAGCAUUCGCAUUAAAACAUCCCAAUUAGCUUUUGCACUGUUUCCAUUAGUAGUGCUAAAUGUGAACUUGUGUACAUGAGAAAUUAAUGUUUCUGUAAGAAAAAGAAAACUGUAACCAGAUAUGUCUAAACAGCCCUCCUCAGCUAUGUCAUAAAUACCCCCUCAUUAUUCUCAUUUUGUUGAAUGAAUAUUAAUAAUACAUUUUAAAUAAUACCUAUCAUAAUAUAGCAUGAGUGGGGAAUAGGAACACCUCUCUAACUAAUUAGAGAUCUUGAAUGACGUUGGGAAAGGGUUCUGGGUUGAAUCACUGUUCCUUGGACGGGAUUGAAUUAGCAUAGAUUUAAUGCCAGUGAUAAUUCUAUGCAAUUGUGAGAUCAGUAGUUUAAUGCAUCUGGCGGAGAGACAGGGAUUUUCUUUCUCUUACAAUGCUGAAUAACCCCCUAUAAUCCUUUUCCUUUAGCGCUUACGUCUAUCCAGGCUUCAGUUUAAUAAAAGGCCAAAGAAAUCAGGAUUCCGCUGAGCUUCUGUGGCUCAAACGCAGAGAGAAUGAGAUGUUAUCUCAGGGUGGUUGUGGUUCAGAAUCAUUGAAAAGAUGAAUGGGUGGAUUGGAGGGCUAUGUUUAUAUUUCCAAUUGCUUGUAUACUGCAGAAGACACCUUCUUAACAGUAAAGUGUAUAUGCUUUCUUUAAUCCAAUAGCCCAAGAACUAAAAGGACAAAAGAGAGCCUGGAGCAA